rnacentral:rRNA from 1 species
GAUGAACGCUAGCUACAGGCUUAACACAUGCAAGUCGAGGGACCGGCGGACGGGUGAGUAAUGUAUGGGGAUCUGCCCGAUAGAGGGGGAUAACUACUGGAAACGGUGGCUAAUACCGCAUACUAUCGGAUGAACCCAUAUGGGAUUAGCUAGUAGGUGGGGUAAAGGCUCACCUAGGCGACGAUCUCUAGCUGGUCUGAGAGGAUGAUCAGCCACACUGGGACUGAGACACGGCCCAGACUCCUACGGGAGGCAGCAGUGGGGAAUAUUGCACAAUGGGCGAAAGCCUGAUGCAGCCAUGCCGCGUGUAUGAAGAAGGCCUUAGGGUUGUAAAGUACUUUCAGCGGGGAGGCGUUACCCGCAGAAGAAGCACAGGCUAACUCCGUGCCAGAAGCCGCGGUAAUAC